rnacentral:rRNA from 1 species
AGAACGAACGCUGGCGGCAUGCCUAACACAUGCAAGUCGAACGAGACCUUCGGGUCUAGUGGCGCACGGGUGCGUAACGCGUGGGAACCUGCCCUUAGGUUCGGAAUAACUCAGAGAAAUUUGAGCUGAUACCGGAUAAUGUCUUCGGACCAAAGAUUUAUCGCCUAUGGAUGGGCCCGCGUAGGAUUAGCUAGUUGGUGGGGUAAAGGCCUACCAAGGCGACGAUCCUUAGCUGGUCUGAGAGGAUGAUCAGCCACACUGGGACUGAGACACGGCCCAGACUCCUACGGGAGGCAGCAGUGGGGAAUAUUGGACAAUGGGCGAAAGCCUGAUCCAGCAAUGACCGCGUGAGUGAUGAAGGCCGUUAGGGUUGUAAAGCUUACCGUUUACCCGGGAUGGUAAUAAGUGAACGAGGUAACCGGAGUAAAGAAGCCGUCCGGACGUACCUCCGCGCCAGCACGCCGACGGUAAUCGAGACGGCGGACGU